rnacentral:lncRNA from 1 species
AUUAAUUAAUUUAUUAUUUAUAAUUAGCUAAUUAAAUAAUUAAUUAUUUAUGAUGUUUAUGCAAUAUCUAGUAUUUAUGUUGAUUAAUUAAUUAAUAUUUUGACUAAUCUAAUUAUUUUAUUAACUAAUUAUCUAACUAUUAAACUAAUGGAUUUAUUAUUUUUUUUAAUUUAUUAAUUUAUUAAAUUAUUUGUGGUUAAUUAAAUUAUUAAUUAACAAUACUCAUUAUUAAUUAUUUAUUAAUAAAUAUUUAGGGUUAUUUAGCAGUAUUCAUGAUUAAUUAGUUAAUUAACUAAGUUAAAUUAUUAUUAAAUUAAUAUUUUAUGUUAAUUAAUUAGAUAAAAUAUCAUUAUUUUAAAACUAUAAUUACUUUUAUUAUCACUAACUAUGCAAACAUUAUUUUUAUUAUUCCUGGGAACAACCUAAUUUUUAUCCAAACUUAAAAUUAAUCGUAUUCCUACUUAUCCCAAGAGGUAUGCUUAUAUCUUGAUUUGUAUUAUCUUGUCACGAUUAUAGGGUAUUCUGUAGGAAUCUUUUUAGAUUAUUGUAUUUGGUUAAACUCAAAAGUAAUCCGGUGAGUAAUGCAGUAUUACUAACAGUGCAAGAUAACACCCAAAAUAUUACUGGAGAGCGGGUGAGUAUUGUCAUGCCCCAGAUUACUCGUUUUUCCAUGCACGAUAAUAGAUCAGCCGUAUACAUAGAAUUUUUUCCUGUAUACGAAGCGAAGCUGUACCUGUAUAUGUAAUCAUACAAUACUACAACCAGUAGUAUAGAGCUGCGAAAUAAAACAUAUAUAAAUAACAGAGGUUCACUAUACAUACAUAACAUCCAGGUGUACAAAAAUCACUCACUCCAGCGAGAUACAAAUAUCAAUAUGUAUAAUAACCCAAAAACUACAAUUACCUGUAGCUGGUACUCCUCUAACUCUGUGACUCGUCAGGAAUGGCUAACUCGCAACACCCUUUCCACGAUCAGUAUCAGCAAUAGGAGCAGCCGCAAUCGAAGGUUCUACAAAAGAUCCACAACUGGGCAUGAGAACUACUGCAAAAAGAAGUAGUCCUCAGUGGGUACCGCUACUGACCUCAACGGCUCACCCACUAAAUCUACAUAUAAUAUGCUCAAUGAUAGUAAAGAACUGGAAACAAUCUACAGUUAUAUGCCACUAUACUAUCAUGAUCCAACACUAACUAUCUGUAGAAAAAGGCAAGUUCUGACCCAAUCUCACUAGGAACUGUGAAUACACCCGUCCCGCAUAUCAAAACUACAUGGCUACCUCCACGCUAGGCCGUCAGUAGAGAGCAAGUCCAACCAGGACAAACCGACAUCAACGCAAAAGUACUAAACCCGACUCCAUAGUGGCACUCGUAGGCGCUACCCAACCGAGUAUGUAAGCGUGUCUCUGUCGAGCUCAAUCAGGCUCUCACAUGCUAUAGUCCAGUAAACAGGGUCUAAUAAUCAAACUCACGUGCCUCGGCACAAUUUGAUGCAAAAACGGCAAUCCGGGUCCAUCGUCAACCUCAACGGCAUCCAACAAUCCGGAACAGCCUAUACACUGCUAUAAAAAUAAGCUCGACAUCUCAGCACGAGCGUAAAAGCAUUCCACACUAUUCUGGGUAUCCACCGCUCACAAACUGCGGCGAUACGAACAAACUACGGCUCCUAAAGCUAAAUCUGGUAGUUUUAACAUAUGACAGUGUAGAAUCGCUAAUUUUCUCCUAAAUCAAUUUCAAGUCCAACAUGUAUAUUUUAGCUAAUAUUCUACGCUUCAAUUUAGAUUUAAAAAUCAUUCAAAUCAUAGAAUUAAGUUACUAAACAUG